AAAAACAUCCGAUUGACAUGUUUGAGAUAAAAAAACACCCGAUUGAGAUGUUUGAGAUAAAAAACAUCGGAUUAAAAAAAAUCCGAUUGAGAUGUUUGAGAUAAAAAACAUCCAAUAUCAAAAAAAAAAUCCAAUUUCAAACUUUAUGGGGUUAUUUUUAUUGAUGGAGGAUUUUCCUUACAUUUGUGGAGCCUAUAAAAAGGCCACAGGGUCAUUGACUCAAAUCAUAAGCAAAUUAUUAGUAGUCAUAUAAAUUUACCAACAAAUUGAUUUGUACUAUUUUGGGACCUAUUUCAACCUAUUUUCAGAGGGCUCACAAGAUUUAUAAACAUAAAGGAUAUAAUUCUAAAGUGGCACAACUUCUCCAGAAAUGAGACACAGAGAUCACGUGCCCAGCUCCUACUGUGUAGCAGUGACUAUUAAAGGCUGGCUCUCUAGGCUUCACAUCUUCUUUGGGACCGAAGCAGACAAGGGGACACUGCCUAUGUUCUGUAACAGAGGGCUCACAAGAUUUAUAAACAUAAAGGAUAUAAUUCUAAAGUGGCACAACUUCUCCAGAAAUGAGACACAGAGAUCACGUGCCCAGCUCCUACUGUAUAGCAGUGACUAUUAAAGGCUGGCUCUCUAGGCUUCACAUCUUCUUUGGGACCGAAGCAGACAAGGGGACACUGCCUAUGUUCUGUAACAGAGGGCUCACAAGAUUUAUAAACAUAAAGGAUGUAAUUCUAAAGUGGCACAACUUCUCCAGAAAAGAGACACAGAGAACACGUGCCCAGCUCCUACUGUGUAGCAGUGACUAUUAAAGGCUGGCUCUCUAGGCUUCACAUCUUCUUUGGGACCGAAGCAGACAAGGGGACACUGCCUAUGUUCUGUAACAGGUCAGUUAUGCUCAAUAUCAAACUUUGGUUCACAGAAUUAAUGGUGGAAGUUGUAGCUACCUUUAUCCUGGGUAAGAUAAGAAGUUAUGUUCCUGCAUUGUUUGUGACAUGGCCGGACAACCAAUGGAAAUUCCUGGGUUGUUUCAAAAAGAUGUGCCAGUUUAUGGUGAAGAAGACCCUUAUUUAUGUCCUGAGUUCUCUUGCGUCCAUUAUACACAAUCUAAUUGUUGGAGAAGUCUUCAUCAAUAAGCUAUAUUACUUUCUACACAAAAAGAUGGUUUCUGAACCCACAGCUGUGGUUGUCGUUUAGCUACUCUUACACCUACUCACCCUGCAGUCGUUGGGGGGAUACUUGGCACCCGGAGGAGAGCAAAGGACUUUCCUCGCUUAUCUACUGCCACUGGAGGCUUGUGUGCAUGCUCGGCUCUCUCCCCGAGCCUGGCCCAUUCUAUCCUCUCACAAAGAACAUAAUAACAUAAGAACAUUUAAAUAAAUAAAUAAAUAAAUAAUAAAUAAAUAAAUAAAAUCUCAAUUUUUUAGAAGAGGAUAUACGUAAAAAUGUGGCCAGAGGUUUUGUUUGUCUUUUUUUUGUUUUGUUUUUUGUUUGUUGUUUUUUGUUUUUUGUGGCCAGAGGUUUUGAAACCUGUCACAAACUAUUGUCACAAAAAAUACCUACGUUCACCCAGGAUAUGUGUAAGAAAGAGGUUGGGUUUUCGAAGCCUUUCACAAAAUCUUGUCACAAAAGAAAUGUGUAUGUUAGACCACGAUACAUGUAUAA